rnacentral:snRNA from 1 species
UCACUUCAGAAGAAAAUAUACUAAAAUUGGAACGAUACAGAGAAGAUUAGCAUGGACCCUGCGCAAGGAUGACACGCAAAUUCGUGAAGCGUUCCAUAUUUGC